GGAGUCUUAGCUCAGUGGUAGAGCGGCUGACUGCAGAUCAGCAGGUCCCGAGUUCGAUUCUCGGAGGCUCCU
rnacentral:tRNA from 1 species